AUUGAACGCUGGCGGCAGGCCUAACACAUGCAAGUCGAGCGAGCGGCGGACGGGUGAGUAAUGUAUGGGGAUCUGCCCGAUAGAGGGGGAUAACUACUGGAAACGGUGGCUAAUACCGCAUACUAUCGGAUGAACCCAGAUGGGAUUAGCUAGUAGUUGGGGUAAAGGCUCACCUAGGCGACGAUCUCUAGCUGGUCUGAGAGGAUGACCAGCCACACUGGGACUGAGACACGGUCCAGACUCCUACGGGAGUCAGCAGUGGGGAAUAGUGCACAAUGGGCGAAAGCCGGAUGCAGCCAUGCCGCGUGUAUGAAGAAGGCCUUAGGGGUGUAAAGUACUUUCAGCGGGGAGGCGUUACCCGCAGAAGAAGCACCGGCUAACUCCGUGCCAGCAGCCGCGGUAAUUC
rnacentral:rRNA from 1 species